CCUGCCUGAGGAGGCCUCGGUUGGAUGCGAAGGAGCUGCAGCAUCCAGUUCUAGAGGCUGGGAAAUCCAGGAUCAAGUUGCCAGCAGAUCCAGUGCAUCAUGAGGACACACCUCCUGGUUUGCAGAUGGUCGUCUUGCUGUGUCCUCACAUGGCAGAAAGAGGAAGCAAGCUCUCCUUGUUUGUUUUAUAAGGGCACUAAUCCCAUCACGAGAGGUCCAUCCUCAGAACCUAAUGACCCCCUAAAGAGCCCACCUAAUGCUGUCCCACUGGGGGUUAGGGUUUUGACAUUGGAAUUUUGAGGAGGACACAAACAUGCAGUCCAUAACACAUUCCCUCUCAUGAUAUGCAAGACCUCUUUUUUUUUUUUUUUGAGGUAGGGUCUCCUCUCCGUUGCCCAGGCGGGAGGGCAGUGGCAUGAUCAUAGCUCACUGCAGCCUCAACCUCCUGGGCUCAAGUGAUCCUGCCG
rnacentral:lncRNA from 1 species